rnacentral:lncRNA from 1 species
UUGUGACAGCGGAGAAAGGAGGGCAAUCCGGUCCCGCCACCAGCAGCCGCCGCCUCCUCUGCCGCCGCCUCAUCCUUCCUUCCUCUCUUCCCCGGCGCCAAUGGCCGCGUCGUGAGCGCAGCAGCUGGAGAAAGGAGCUGCCUUUUUUUUUUUUGCCUAGCCGGGAGGAAGGAAGGUCAGUCCAGUCGCCUACGCCGCAUUCCCGUUGCUGGUCUGUUCGUGUUCGUCUUUUCCUGCGUGUUGUUCGCUGGUGGAUUCCUGGUUUGGUUAGCGUUGUGCGGGAGAGGGCUGCGCAGCCGGUUUGGUUUCCCUGUUGCCGCUGGGGGAAUCGAGGGGAUUUUAGGAUCUCUUUGUUCUGGUUGGAUCUUGGAGAAACUUUUAAUUCGCCUUGUCUUCGCCCCCGCGAGAUUUGGGUCUUCUCCUCUGACGCGUCUUCUCUUUCGCUCCUUCGUCUGUACUCGGUCUGGUGGUCUACGGCCAUGGUGAAAAGUAGAUUUUGGUCUCGUUUUCUUUAUUUGGGCGGCUUGCUCGCCUGCUUUGACCAGCGGCUUCUCCCCGUUUCUUCCUCGUGAGCCGUGAGCCCUUGAUAUGAUUUGUAGCUAAUGAUUUUUACUACUAGCUUGGUUGGUAGGCAGGUUGGUUGGAUUGGAUAAGAGAUGCUGCUUCUUUUUUUUUUCGUUUUCUGAAAUUUGUGAUUUUCUGGUGUUGAUACUGUUGAGCUCGUGUUGAUUUAGGUUGCGAGCUUGGGAUCCGCUAUUCGCGCGCAUCUUUGGCGCGUAAAAUUUUUGUAAUCCGCACUUCGGAUGGCCGGUUCAAUCGCCGCCUCGGCGUUCUUGCCGGGGUCGCCGGCGCCG